UACGAAGGGGGCUAGCGUUGUUCGGAUUUACUGGGCGUAAAGCGCACGUAGGCGGAUCGUUAAGUCGGGGGUGAAAUCCUGGAGCUCAACUCCAGAACUGCCUUCGAUACUGGCGAUCUUGAGUCCGGAAGAGGUGAGUGGAACUCCUAGUGUAGGGGUGGAAUUCGUAGAUAUUCGCAAGAACACCAGUGGCGAAGGCGGCUCACUGGCCCGAUACUGACGCUGAGGCACGAAAGCGUGGGGAGCAAACAGG
rnacentral:rRNA from 1 species